rnacentral:tRNA from 1 species
GCAUUGGUGGUUCAGUGGUAGAAUGCUCGCCUGCCACGCGGGCGACCCGGGUUCGAUUACCGGGAAAUGCA